ensembl:lncRNA
UCACAGAAUUACAAACAUGAACCUGAAGAACCGCUUCUAUGCUGUGUUGGAUCGACAUUCUCCCCAUCUUCACAACUUGUUCAGGAAGAAAGCUGCUCGCACUGGGAAAGUGGCUGAAGUUCUGGGUCAGCUCUUCAGGAUUUAUGACCUCCAGGAACAUGUUGACGUCCAUGUAAGACGAGCUGCUGUCCUCCGUGCUCUCCCUGCCUAUCUACAUGAAGAUGACUCUGGCUUUCUAAAGAUGUGGCAUGUGGAGCAACAGUCUGAUGACCCAGACAUUGAUGACUUACCUCUUGGACUCCUCUCUGUUGGUGCCAAUUCAAGAGACGUCAUUCUUCUGCCCAGAGAAGAUUGCAGUUGUGGUUGAGGAUAACAUAGUUAUCAAUGUCCCCAUAAUGGCUCAUGCAUAUGUCAUGCUGUUUGCACUGAUUUACGCCCUGCAUCUAAGUUACCCAAAAGAGUUGUCCAACACAUUUGACUUUAUCCAGAAAGACUUGAUGGGUCUGGAGGAUGGGAAGUUGAGGCCCAGAGUGCUGAGUCUUAAAAAUGACCUUUUAGCCAUGGAGUAAACUCUGUGUUGGAGUUUCAAUGUCCACUUCUGUUUCUUUUGGGACACAGCCUAGAAAGGAUUUUUACACAUUUAACAGGUGUGUG